UACGGGGGGGGUAAGCGUUGUUCGGAAUUACUGGGCGUAAAGGGCUCGUAGGCGGCCAACUAAGUCAUACGUGAAAUCCCUCAGCUUAACUGGGGAACUGCGUCUGAUACUGGAUGGCUUGGAUUCGGGAGAGGAAUGCGGAAUUCCAGGUGUAGCGGUGAAAUGCGUAGAUAUCUGGAGGAACACCGGUGGCGAAGGCGGCAUUCUGGACCGACAUUGACGCUGAGGCACGAAAGCUAGGGGAGCAAACAGG
rnacentral:rRNA from 1 species